CAGGGCGUAGCGCAGUGGCUAGGGCGCUUCGUUCGGGACGAAGAGGCCUGUGGUUCGAGUCCACUCACCCCGACCA
rnacentral:tRNA from 1 species